UGCAAGUCGAGCGAACAGAUAAGGAGCUUGCUCCUUUGACGUUAGCGGCGGACGGGUGAGUAACACGUGGGUAACCUACCUAUAAGACUGGGAUAACUUCGGGAAACCGGAGCUAAUACCGGAUAACAUUUGGAACCGCAUGGUUCUAAAGUGAAAGAUGGUUUUGCUAUCACUUAUAGAUGGACCCGCGCCGUAUUAGCUAGUUGGUAAGGUAACGGCUUACCAAGGCGACGAUACGUAGCCGACCUGAGAGGGUGAUCGGCCACACUGGAACUGAGACACGGUCCAGACUCCUACGGGAGGCAGCAGUAGGGAAUCUUCCGCAAUGGGCGAAAGCCUGACGGAGCAACGCCGCGUGAGUGAUGAAGGGUUUCGGCUCGUAAAACUCUGUUAUUAGGGAAGAACAAAUGUGUAAGUAACUGUGCACGUCUUGACGGUACCUAAUCAGAAAGCCACGGCUAACUACGUGCCAGCAGCCGCGGUAAUACGUAGGUGGCAAGCGUUAUCCGGAAUUAUUGGGCGUAAAGCGCGCGUAGGCGGUUUCUUAAGUCUGAUGUGAAAGCCCACGGCUCAACCGUGGAGGGUCAUUGGAAACUGGGAAACUUGAGUGCAGAAGAGGAAAGUGGAAUUCCAUGUGUAGCGGUGAAAUGCGCAGAGAUAUGGAGGAACACCAGUGGCGAAGGCGACUUUCUGGUCUGUAACUGACGCUGAUGUGCGAAAGCGUGGGGAUCAAACAGGAUUAGAUACCCUGGUAGUCCACGCCGUAAACGAUGAGUGCUAAGUGUUAGGGGGUUUCCGCCCCUUAGUGCUGCAGCUAACGCAUUAAGCACUCCGCCUGGGGAGUACGACCGCAAGGUUGAAACUCAAAGGAAUUGACGGGGACCCGCACAAGCGGUGGAGCAUGUGGUUUAAUUCGAAGCAACGCGAAGAACCUUACCAAAUCUUGACAUCCUUUGAAAACUCUAGAGAUAGAGCUUUCCCCUUCGGGGGACAAAGUGACAGGUGGUGCAUGGUUGUCGUCAGCUCGUGUCGUGAGAUGUUGGGUUAAGUCCCGCAACGAGCGCAACCCUUAAGCUUAGUUGCCAUCAUUAAGUUGGGCACUCUAGGUUGACUGCCGGUGACAAACCGGAGGAAGGUGGGGAUGACGUCAAAUCAUCAUGCCCCUUAUGAUUUGGGCUACACACGUGCUACAAUGGACAAUACAAAGGGCAGCUAAACCGCGAGGUCAUGCAAAUCCCAUAAAGUUGUUCUCAGUUCGGAUUGUAGUCUGCAACUCGACUACAUGAAGCUGGAAUCGCUAGUAAUCGUAGAUCAGCAUGCUACGGUGAAUACGUUCCCGGGUCUUGUACACACCGCCCGUCACACCACGAGAGUUUGUAACACCCGAAGCCGGUGGAGUAACCAUUUAUGGAGCU
rnacentral:rRNA from 1 species